rnacentral:lncRNA from 1 species
GUUGCUGCCAAAAACACAAAAAAGGAGGUUUAAAAAGAUGAAGCCUGCCAGGUGAAGCAGACGCGUCCCUUCGGAGGCUGCCUGCGCCCUCUCCAACAUAGGGCCUUGACCGUGGUUUGACCAAGCCUGCCCAACAGCAGCAGCACGAGGAGAGGCUGCCGAGAGCAGCCCGAGAGGGAGCCCGGCCGGGCCAGGGGGCCCGCGGCAGAGCCAGGCGGGUCCAGGCGAAAGGUGUCGACUCCGGACAAGCCAUUUUCUGCUUCUGCUGCUGCCACAGCUGGACGAGGGGCUCUUUGCGUCAUGGAGCGGAGCUGGAGCGCUCCGACGUGGCCUGCACGUCUUCCCAGACGCGCAUCUAACGCACGUGCUCUUUCUAGCUGGGCAUUAUAGUUUUUAUUCUCAAAAUAACUAAUGGCCGAAGGAAGGAAGGCGGAACGAAGGCAGAGGAGGAAGCAAAGAGCAGUGACCAAGGAGGCUCAGAUAACAUCCUCAGCAGCACUGACCAAACCUCUCCGGUUCGUACGGAGCACGCGAGCUUCGGGCUGCUGCGGUGCAGCGAGGCCCGGAGCUGCUGUGUCCCCGGCCCCACGCAGCAAGGCCUGCAGGGGCUGGGAGUUAAAAGAAGACACCAGAAAAUCCUUUCUCCUGCCAACUGCCCUGCAGCUGGUGCUUUGCAGAAGUAAAAAAGGAUUUGCUCCUCCUGCAAAUCCUUUUUUUGGUGAGUCAUCCUGAUCCGCCCCGGUGGCCGCGCCGGCGGGGAGGCCCACGAGCGAGCACGAAGGACAGCUCGGCAAGGACCUGGCGGAGGCCGCUGCUAAGCGGGGUCUGCUUCCCCUGAGACGCGGGCUCCAUCACUCAAACCUCUCCGCACUUCGGUUCCCCUUCUGCCAGGCGCAGAUUAUAAAUCUGUCCUGACCCCCUUGGCAAGGGAAGGUGCUCAGAGAAGGGGCCUAUAAAUAUGUCAGCUAAGGGGGACACCGGGCCUGGCCUGGAAACCUUGACCUGGAGAGGAGUCCGGCCGGUGCCGUGCCAGCUCCCUGCGUCUCGCAGCACCUCGUGCGAGCGGCGAGG